GACGAACGCUGGCGGCGUGCUUAACACAUGCAAGUCGAACGGAAAGGCCCUGCUUUUGUGGGGUGCUCGAGUGGCGAACGGGUGAGUAACACGUGAGUAACCUGCCCUUGACUUUGGGAUAACUUCAGGAAACUGGGGCUAAUACCGGAUAGGAGCUCCUGCUGCAUGGUGGGGGUUGGAAAGUUUCGGCGGUUGGGGAUGGACUCGCGGCUUAUCAGCUUGUUGGUGGGGUAGUGGCUUACCAAGGCUUUGACGGGUAGCCGGCCUGAGAGGGUGACCGGCCACAUUGGGACUGCGAUACGGACCAGACGGCUACGGGAGGCAGCAGUGGGGAAUAUUGCACAAUGGGCGGAAGCCUGAUGCAGCAACGCCGCGUGCGGGAUGACGGCCUUCGGGUGGUAAACCGCUUUCGCCUGUGACGAAGCGUGAGUGACGGUAAUGGGUAAAGAAGCACCGGCUAACUACGUG
rnacentral:rRNA from 1 species